GAUCGCUAUCAAUUACUUCUGCAU
rnacentral:siRNA from 1 species